rnacentral:rRNA from 1 species
GAUGAACGCUGGCGGCGUGCCUAAUACAUGCAAGUCGAGCGAACGGACGAGAAGCUUGCUUCUCUGAUGUUAGCGGCGGACAGGUGAGUAACACGUGGAUAACCUACCUAUAAGACUGGGAUAACUUCGGGAAACCGGAGCUAAUACCGGAUAAUAUUUUGAACCGCAUGGUUCAAAAGUGAAAGACGGUCUUGCUGUCACUUAUAGAUGGAUCCGCGCUGCAUUAGCUAGUUGGUAAGGUAACGGCUUACCAAGGCAACGAUGCAUAGCCGACCUGAGAGGGUGAUCGGCCACACUGGAACUGAGACACGGUCCAGACGCCUACGGGAGGCAGCAGUAGGGAAUCUUCCGCAAUGGGCGAAAGCCUGACGGAGCAACGCCGCGUGAGUGAUGAAGGUCUUCGGAUCGUAAAACUCUGUUAUUAGGGAAGAACAUAUGUGUAAGUAACUGUGCACAUCUUGACGGUACCUAAUCAGAAAGCCACGGCUAACUACGUG